ACCCACAUUAGCCCACCCCCCCCCCCCAUACCUGACAAGUUUGAACUAAAACAUUUAUAACACCCCAGUAUUGGUGAAAGAAAGGCCUAGAGGCGCGACAGAGAAAGUACCGCAAGGGAAAGAUGAAACAAAGAUAAAACACAAGUAAAACACAGCAAAGACCAGCCCUUUUACCUUUCGCAUUAUGGUUUAGCAAACCACAAGUGGCAAAAAGAAUUUAAGUCACCUACCCCGAAACUGAGUGAGCUACUAAUCAGCCGCUAAACUUGAGCAAACCCCUCUCUGUGGCAAAAGAGUGGGAAGACUGCUUAGUAGUGGUGAAAAGCCUACCGAACCCAGUAAUAGCUGGCUGCUUGGGAAACGAAUUUUAGUUCUACUGCAAACUCUCCUACUCCCGCAACAACGGGCAAGGAAAAGUUUUCAAGCUACUUAAUAGGGGUACAGCCCUAUUAACACAGGACUCAACCUCUACCUAAGGGUAAUCUGUCUUAUUCUCACACCGUGGGCCUUAAAGCAGCCAUCACAAAAAAGCGUCAAAGCUAAACCCCUAAAAAUACCAACAACAAACUGAACCCUACACCACAACCAAGCCACCUUAUAAUAUUAAAAAAGACUAUGCUAAAAUGAGUAAUAAGAAAACGACUUUCUCCUUGCGCCAGCCUACAUUCUUCAUGACCCCCUAUAAAUCAUCACACUUUCCCCCACACUCCUGCUGCUCAAAUAAAAGGGGAACCCCUUCCCGUCUGGUUGACCCCGACACAGGCGCGCACAGGAAAGGCUUAACCUUUGCAAAAGGAACUCGGCAACAAAGACUCCGACUGGUUUACCAAAAACAGCCCCAGCCCUCUUAGUAUUUGGGGUGAUGCCUGCCCAAUGACUACUAGUUAAAUGGCCGCGGUAUCUACAACCGUGCAAAGAGUAGCGUAAUCACUUGUUCUUUAAAUAAGGACCAGUAUGAACGGCUAAACGAGAGUCUAACUGUCUCCUGCAAGCAGCCAAUGAAAUUGAUCUUCCUGUGCAAAAGCAGGAAUAGCCCCACCAGACGAGAAGACCCUGUGAAACUUUAAUCGGCUAAGUCAUACACACAACUAAUAAUCACCCAUAAUUACCUGGACCGUGACUUAGCGUUUUUGGUUGGGGUGACCUUGAAACAAAGAAAAACUUUUAAGAAAGCUAUAACAAAGUAGCCAGUAUCCACUGAGACCCCCACACCUCAAAGUACUUAAAUGUAAUUAGAUCCGACAACGUCGAUCCAUGAACCAAGCUACUCCAGGGAUAACAGCGCAAUCCCCUUCAAGAGCCCCUAUCGACAGGGGGGUUUACGACCUCGAUGUUGGAUCAGGACACCCCAUUGGUGUAACCGCUAAUAAUGGUUCGUUUGUUCAACGUUUAAAGUCCUACGUGAUACUGAGUUCAGACCGGAGCAAUCCAGGUCGGUUUCUAUCUAUGACCCCGCCUUUUCCUAGUACGAAAGGACCGGAAAAACAAGGCCCAUGCCACUAAAGUACGCCUUACCCAUAGCUAAUGUAGACAACUAAACUAGCAACCGGGAUGAACCUGCCCCUCGAAACAAGAGCAU
rnacentral:rRNA from 1 species